GACAGUUUGGCCGAGUGGUCUAAGGCGCUGGCUUUAGGCGCCAGUCCGAAAGGGCGUGGGUUCGAACCCCACAGCUGUCA
rnacentral:tRNA from 1 species